rnacentral:lncRNA from 1 species
GGAACAUUGUUGUUGAAUCAGAUAAACUAAAGAGAAGAAACUACUCGUUUUCAAGAGCCCUGGAUGCUCUAAAUGCUGAGGAUUUCCCAACCAGAGGCUUUUGGAUGUUUCCAGCCAAGAAGGAUUUGGCAAAAGAUCCAGAUAUGUUGUGAAUGCUUUUCAACUUCUGGAGGUUCAGGUUAUAUAAGCACAACAUGUUUAUACAGAAGAAGGGGUAGUUAUCUCAGAGGAAGAGAGGAGCACAAAUCUUUCUUAUUGCUGGCAUCUGACAAGAAAGCAUUCCUAUUGAUCUGUUUUGUGCUCCAGAACAGGAUUGACCCUGGUCUCUCAGGCUGUCUCAGGUUGAAAUACUUGAAAAUCUCCCAGACCUUUAUCUCCCCUGGAAGUGGAAGCCUUCUGGCGCACCAUUUUGCUCUCUAA